rnacentral:rRNA from 1 species
UACAGAGGGUGCGAGCGUUGUCCGGAAUCACUGGGCGUAAAGGGCGCGUAGGUGGCGCGACAAGUCAGUGGUGAAAGCUCGACGCUCAACGUCGAGUCGGCCACUGAUACUGUUGGGCUUGAGCACUGUAGAGGCUAAUGGAAUUCCGGGUGUAGCGGUGGAAUGCGUAGAGAUCCGGAAGAACACCGGUGGCGAAGGCGGUUAGCUGGGCAGUUGCUGACACUGAGGCGCGACAGCGUGGGGGAGCAAACAGG